rnacentral:rRNA from 1 species
UUCUACAGCCAUACCACCCUGAACACGCCCAAUCUCGUCUGAUCUCGGAAGCUAAGCAGGGUCGGGCCUGGUUAGUACUUGGAUGGGAGAAAUACUGUCUUUAGCUU